UUCAGACCACGACUUAAUUAGCCUCUCCGCUCUACACUCUCUUCUGAGCUGAACAUUGAAGCAUAGUGCAGUGCAAUACUCUCUUACUGGCAUCGAUCUCUGACAGUAACAGAUGAGACGUUGCAGUUCCACCUACUUGUCACUGGCUGCAGCCGCGGUCUUGCUUCUCCUACUGACGGCGGCCAUGGAGGCUGAAGGCAUCCGGCUAGACGCCGAGACCCGGGCUUCAGUCGGCAGUAGCAGCAGCAACCCAGUGCACAAUGUAAGUCGUGAUUAAUUCUGAUGACCUUCUGUUUGAUCGUCGAUCUUAAUCUUUGGAUGAUGCUUCCUGCGGAUGCUAAUUAACUUGCCUUUAUUCAUGAUUGCAGAAACCAAGCGAUGAUUUGGUCAAGGGUUCUGCCACUGGCUCGGUUAGCGAGAGCGAGGCGACGAGAAGCGCCGGUGCGGCGAAAGAAGUUAGGGCAGGGGCGCAUGGGUUGCCUGAGUUCCAUGAAGACUACUACGUUCGAACUGUUCAUGGUUCUAGGCACCACUGAGCAAAGAGUCAAAAACUAAACAGCCAGCUAGUUAGUUAGUCAGUCGCAGCGCCUGCAGACUGCCAUUCAUUCAUAGUUGCUGAAGUUUUCAUGUAAGCUUAGAUAGUGAGCACAUGCAUGGUGGUGUGGUAGGACAUCAACUGCGAAGCUAGCUUGUUAGCUCCACUUCUGCAUCUCUACAGACAGCAACGAUUAGCAGGAGAAGGAACAAUUUUGAUGUACUGACCUCUUGUCAAAGGAAACAACUGAAGUUCAGAGUUCAGUAAUCUGGCAAGAACGACCAUGCACCUACACAGACGACAGAGCAGCUAGUACUUGUCAGUUUACUAC
rnacentral:lncRNA from 1 species